rnacentral:rRNA from 1 species
AAGCGGUACGCGAGCUGGGUUCAGAACGUCGUGAGACAGUUCGGUCCCUAUCCGUCGCGGGCGCAGGAAAUUUGAGAGGAGCUGUCCUUAGUACGAGAGGACCGGGAUGGACGCACCGCUGGUGUAACAGUUGUUCUGCCAAGGGCAUCGCUGGGUAGCUAUGUGCGGACGGGAUAAGUGCUGAAAGCAUCUAAGCAUGAAGCCCCCCUCAAGAUGAGAUUUCCCAUUCCGCAAGGAAGUAAGAUCCCUGAAAGAUGAUCAGGUUGAUAGGUCUGAGGUGGAAGUGUGGCGACAUAUGGAGCUGACAGAUACUAAU